rnacentral:rRNA from 1 species
GAGUUUGAUCAUGGCUCAGGAUGAACGCUGGCGGCAUGCCUAACACAUGCAAGUUGAACGAGAAGUCUUGGAGGGAGUCUUCGGACGAACGAAGGGAUGGAAAGUAGCGAACGGGUGAGUAACGCGUGGGCAACCAACCUUACACAGGGGGAUAACGCAGAGAAAUUUGCGCUAAUACCGCAUAAGCGCACGAUACCGCAUGGUAUUGUGUGAAAAACUCCGGUGGUGUAAGACGGGCCCGCGUCUGAUUAGCUAGUUGGUGAGGUAAGAGCUCACCAAGGCGACGAUCAGUAGCCGACCUGAGAGGGUGAUCGGCCACAUUGGGACUGAGACACGGCCCAAACUCCUACGGGAGGCAGCAGUGGGGGAUAUUGCACAAUGGAGGGAACUCUGAUGCAGCAAUGCCGCGUGAAGGAAGACGGUUUUCGGAUUGUAAACUUCUAUCAGCAGGGAAGAAAAUGACGUACCUGACUAAGAGCCCC